CAUUGGCUUGUCUGUACGAAGUGAGCUGGGAUUGAACUAGCUAUCAGUUUUUCAGCUCUUGUUUAGCUCCUGACUGCGACACUAGCUGAAUCUCUGCGGUGCUAAAACUAUACCUGCGCAGAAAACAUUUUCCACAUCCAACACUGGACUACCACCUCCCGACUGGAUUUAUUUACUCAUGGAUUUAUUCAUCAACUCCCUGUGGACUUCCAUCAUUGGACCUCUCCUGCUCUACCACACUUGAGGCCCCCUCUCCCCAACCCACUGCCUACUCACCGGCUAGCUCCACGGCUUCUCUCCCGAAGUUUUUACUUGUGACAAACACUACUCUCCCUUCACCCUGGAAUCUAUUAACAACAACAAUCGCCUCUCUUCGGAAGUAGCUAGUCGUGCCAGCUCACUGGGCAUUCUACGCCGACGCCCCUACAUCCAUCGAGGCUGCCGACGCAAAUGGUUGGGCAGUGCUAACACCAGCACCAACAGAAGAUCUGUCUGGUCUAACUCCCGUAUCAAGUUCUAUCCUUCCUCUCACUCCGUUGAUUUUAGCUGCCUCCGUGCCCUACCGCUUUCCCAAACCUUAGGUUUACCCUGUUACACUACCAAUCUUGCUCUUUUAAUCUUCCGUUCUGUGAACAAUAAAUCUCUCCUCCUUCAUGAACUCAUAUUGGACAAUAACCUGAACUUCCUCUUACUUACUGAAACAGCUGAUGAUUUUUUUCAAAGUCUACACACCCCUGUUAAAAUGCCAGGUUUUUGUGAUGUAAAAGAAUGAGACAAAGAUAAAUAAUGUCAGAACUUUUUUUCCACUUUUACUGUGCCUGAGCUCCGUGCUGAAGCAGGAGGACCCCCGGCUUGAACGUCGAUCCAGAACUGGCCUUACUGUUCAUGUUGAAGCCUAUAAGCUUCACCUCUCCUUGUACAGAGAUGCUCUUCAUGCUGCCAGAACCUCUUUCAUCUCCGACACCAUCAAAACCUCCAACACAAACUCCCAGACUUUGUUCUUCACUAUCAACAAACUCCUCCUACAACGCAGUGAGCCCUCCACAGCAUCAACUGUGCUCGCAAACUCUUUUCUUCCUCUGUCUCAUAUUGAAACUUGCCUGGCAACAAUAAAAACCUGGCUGCAGCAGAACUUCCUCAAGCUUAACGUCUACUACUUGGUACAAAAUCUACAUUAACCAAAGCCGGCACCUUCACCCUCACUAUUGAUGACUCUGUUUCCCCUAAUACAUGGAAUCUCUGUGUCAUACUGGACUCCUCACUCAGCUUCAAACAACACAUCAAAUCCUCAUUCUUCCACCUCCGCAAUAUUGCCAAAUUAUAGUCUGCCGCUGAAACCCUAAUACAUGCAUUCACUUCUGCCCGUCUUGACUAUUGCAAUUCUCUCCCUUCUGGGAUUAACUCUUCAUCUCUCCAUAAACUACAACUAGUACAAAAGUCGGGGUUUGGAAUGCACUUCCACAAUUCAUCUGUGACUCCAAAUCUGUUGCCAUUUUCAUCCACCACCUCAAGUCUUAUCUGUUCAAAAAAGCCUCUCCCUUUUUGUUUUUGUUUUGUUAGCUUCUGUUUGUGUCAUUGAUCUAUUUGUAGUUGUUUAUGUAUGUAUUGUAAAGCGCUA
ensembl:lncRNA